rnacentral:rRNA from 11 species
GUGAAGUGUUCGGAUCGCUGUGACGUAGGUGGUUCGCUGCCCGCGACUCUGCGAGAAGUCCAUUGAACCUUAUCAUUUAGAGGAAGGAGAAGUCGUAACAAGGUUUCCGUAGGUGAACCUGCGGAAGGAUCAUUG